CCUACGGGAGGCAGCAGUGGGGAAUAUUGCACAAUGGGGGAAACCCUGAUGCAGCGACGCCGCGUGAGUGAAGAAGUAUUUCGGUAUGUAAAGCUCUAUCAGCAGGGAAGAAAAUGGAGGGUACCGGACAAGAAAGCCCGGGCUAACUACGGCCCAGCAGCGGCGGUAAAACGUAGGGGGCAAGCGUUACCCGGUUUUACGGGGUGUAAAGGGAGCGUAGAGGGCAGCACAAGUCUGAAGUGAAAGCCCGGGGCUUAACCCCGGGACUGCUUUGGAAACUGUGGAGCUAGAGUGCAGGAGAGGUAAGUGGAAUUCCUAGUGUAGCGGUGAAAUGCGUAGAUAUUAGGAGGAACACCAGUGGCGAAGGCGGCUUACUGGACUGUAACUGACGUUGAGGCUCGAAGGCCUGGGGAGCGAAAAGGAUUAGAUACCCCUGUAGUC
rnacentral:rRNA from 1 species